rnacentral:misc_RNA from 1 species
GAUAAGAACGUAGCGAAAUGCGAUAAGUAAUGUGAAUUGCAGAAUUCAGUGAAUCAUCGAAUCUUUGAACGCACAUUGCGCCCCUUGGUAUUCCGGGGGGCAUGCCUGUUCGAGCGUCAUUAUAACCCUCAAGCCUAGCUUGGUGUUGGAGCAUGCUACCUAAGCAGCUCUUAAAAUCAGUGGCAGUGCCCUUCGGCUCUAAGCGUAGUAACUUCUCUCGCUAUGGAACCCGGAGGGUACGCGCCAGAACCCCCAACUUUCUAUGGUUGACCUCGGAUCAGGUAGGGAUACCCGCUGAACUUAAGCAUAUCAAUAAGCGGAGGA